rnacentral:rRNA from 1 species
CGUGUAGGCGGCUUUAUAAGUCUGGAGUGAAAGUCCUGCUUUCAAGGUGGGAAUUGCUUUGGAGACUGUAGAGCUUGAGUGCGGAAGAGGUAAGUGGAAUUCCCAGUGUAGCGGUGAAAUGCGUAGAGAUUGGGAGGAACACCAGUGGCGAAGGCGACUUACUGGGCCGUAACUGACGCUGAGGCGCGAAAGCGUGGGGAGCGAACAG